CGAGCAAAAUCCUUCAACCCUUCUAAACAGACAGAUGUCGCUUUUCUGCCGGUCCCUGCAGUACACCUGUCUGCCCUGGAAAGUACAUUUCUCAGCUGCAGCCCCGCGAGGCCAAGAGCUUGAAGCUGGGUCUUGUGGUUGGGGCUGCAGGUGCUGGGCCUAAGGAGCAUGAAGGGAUGCCCAAGGUUGGGGGGGCGGUCCGAGGUUUGGAGGGCAGACCUCUUGAAGGCGGACGGCAGCCACCAACCACAUCCUGGCUCCCGCACAGACACACCCCCGGGGGGUCGGUGCCGCAGCCCCCAGCCCCUCCUGGGGUAGCCAGCAGCGCCCGCCGGCCACCGGCCACAGGAGAAAGUAAACAACACCCCAAGUGUCCGGGAACAAAGGCAAGUUGUCUUCCUACGGUGCCGGAGCCGUGUGCCUCUUCUGAAGAAUAAGAGCUAUUAUUAUUCUUUAUGUCUUACCCUUUUUUUUUUUUUUUUAGCCAAGUUUCCUUCUAAGGGAAAUAAACACCAAAGGUAGGAUUCCAAGGAAAUGACUCACGGCGGCUGGCAGGGCUCUGGCGGGGCUGGCCCGAGCCCCCGCGCUCCAGCCCGCAGCAGAAGCCGGCGCGGCCCUCCCUCCCUCCCCAGCCAAACAGGCUGGAAGCCCGCGGCUGCCGGAGCGCCCUGCGCCCGUGGGACCUGGCAGCGAGGAGGCCUCUUCCCUGCCUCUGCGGCCGCAGCCGGGCACUCGGAAAGUUGCUAGGGCCGAAGAGGCGGGAGGGGAGGAAGGGAGGAGAGAGGCGGAGGCGUGGACCAGGCGGGCAGCAGCCUCAGCCCGCCGGGGAGUGAUCCUCCGACUGUGAAAAACCAAACCGCUGGCUGCCUGGCUCCCUAGGAAUCAAGAAGCCGCACAGACUGAAAAUCAAGGGAGGAAGGAACAAGAUCAAGGAUGGGGAUUACCAUCUGCAAAUUGAACUCUAUCUAAUUUGCAUGUUUAUUUCUUAGAAUUGUAAUUAAAUUUGUGUAAUAAAUGUUUCCAUUUCAUUUGUACACUUAAAACUUGGGUGACUGACAUGCAGUUAAGUGAAAUUCCUUUUUUUUUUUUUAAGCAAAUGUAGUUUAUUCAAUAAAGCACCAAACCAAUAUUAAACAUAAUUAGAACUAA